UUUCGUUGCUACUUCAUAACUGUAAUUUUGCUACUGUUAUGAAUCGUAAUGUAAAUAUCUGAUAUGCAGGAUGUAUUUAGGCGACCCCUGUGAAAGGGUCGUUCGACCCCCAAAGGGGUCGCGACCCACAGGUUGAAAACCGCUGCCCUACCCAGACCUGGCUUGUGGAGGCUACGGAGAACACAGACGAAUGACAGGGGUCCUGGAAGCCUUCAGUUAUAUGUGCAGUGCUGGGCAUGGGGCACAGUGUACCCUCGUCAGCCCGAGCUCAUCUUUUCUACCCAUGGUGAGGCAGAAGGCUCACUCACUUCUCUAUUCCAGAGUUAGGCCUGGUUGGGUUUCCAGCUCCAGUAAUUAGUGAUUCCCUGUAGCUGAUCUGCCCACAAGGGGGUGCUUGGGAGCUCUUAGCCCAGCACAUGGCAUGCUUCCCAGCUUGAUGACCUGGUAUCAAGGCUGGACGGGGUUUGCAGGCACGAAGAUGCUGGCCUUUUGCCCCUGCCAUCCCCAUCCAAUGAACCUUCACACGUGUCCUGUCAUGAGGGCCAAAAGCCCAUCCCCACCGCAGUAUCAGACUGGCUAAGUCAGGGUUCAGAGCCUAGCUCCCUCUGGGCUAAAGCAGGGUAAUCUUUUUAGAGCUGUUUUUUCUUAUGUAAUAUGGGUAUAUCUUCCUAAUAGUUUAAUAACAAUGUGCCCAAGGACAGUGCUAGGUUAUAUAAACCCUCAUCCCAGAAGAUUCCAGGCCACUCUCAAGUCUACAGCCUGAGCAAGAAAAUGGAGCCCGGCUCACUGAGGCGGACACCAGCUCUACCAAUUGUUAAUGCAAGCUUUUAUUUGGCUGUAUAUACAGUUUAAGCUAUUAAAAUUUGUACAAUAUUUACAAAUUAAAUAAUCAUCUGAAAAAAAAAAAGAAAA